rnacentral:rRNA from 1 species
AGAACGAACGCUGGCGGCGUGGAUAAGACAUGCAAGUCGAACGGAACUUGGUAGCAAUACUAAGUUCAGUGGCGGACGGGUGCGUAACACGUGAACAAUCUGCCCGGAAGAGGGGGAUAGCCCAGGGAAACUUGGAUUAAUACCCCGUGUGAUCGGAAUGGGCAUCCAUUCCACAUCAAAGGUGCUGCAAGGUGCCGCUUCCGGAUGAGUUCGCGCCCUAUCAGCUUGUGGCGGGUAACGCCCACCAAGGCGAUGACGGGUAGCUGGUCUGAGAGGAUGACCAGCCACACUGGAACUGAGACACGGUCAGACACUACGGGUGCAGCAGUCGAGAAUCAUUCACAAGUGGGACGAAAGCCUAGAUGGUAGUGACGCCGCGUGGAGAUGAAGGUCUUCGGAUUGUAAACUCCUGUCAGUGUAGAGUAAGUAACGCCGGUACGUUAACGU